rnacentral:tRNA from 1 species
UAGGGAUAGUGUAAUAGGAAACACAGAGGGUUUUGAUCUCUCAGAUAUAGGUUCGAGUCCUAUUUUUCUAG